rnacentral:rRNA from 1 species
AACAUAGUUUUAUGAAAAAAUAUAAAAUAAUUUCUGCCCAAUGUAUUUUUAUCAAUGGCCGCAGUACCUUGACUGUGCUAAGGUAGCGUAAUCAAUUGGCUUUUAAUUGAAGUCUAGUAUGAAAGGGAUAAUGGAAUUUAGCUGUCUAAAGAUUUUUAUUAAAAUUUAUUUAUAAGGUGAAAAUACCUUUAUUUAAAAUAAAGACGAGAAGACCCUAUGAAUUUUUAAUAAAUUUUUGUUGGGGCGACAGUUUAAAAAUAAAUCUUAAGUUAAUUUAAUAUAACGAAUAUAUUAAUAUAAAUAAAAUUACCUUAGGGAUAACAGCAUUAUUAUUUAAAUAGUUUGUGACCUCGAUGUUGGACUAGGAACUAUACGGCUAGCCGUCUUUAUAGAUUUGUUCUGUUCG